UACGGGGGGGCAAGCGUUGUUCGGAAUUACUGGGCGUAAGGGCUCGUAGGCGGCCAACUAAGUCAGACGUGAAAUCCCUCGGCUUAACCGGGGAACUGCGUCUGAUACUGGAUGGCUUGAGAUUGGGAGAGGGAUGCGGAAUUCCAGGUGUAGCGGUGAAAUGCGUAGAUAUCUGGAGGAACACCGGUGGCGAAGGCGGCAUCCUGGACCAACACUGACGCUGAGGAGCGAAAGCCAGGGGAGCCAAAGCGGG
rnacentral:rRNA from 1 species